AUUAGGUAGUUGUUGGGGUAACGGCCCAACAAGCCUUUGAUCGGUACGGGUUGUGGGAGCAAGAGCCCGGAGAUGGAUUCUGAGACACGAAUCCAGGCCCUACGGGGCGCAGCAGGCGCGAAAACUUUACAAUGCGGGAAACCGUGAUAAGGGAACUCCGAGUGUCCGUAAAUGCGGACUGUCCGUAUGUCUAAAAAGCAUGCGAAGAAAGGGCCGGGCAAGACCGGUGCCAGCCGCCGCGGUAAUACCGGCGGCUCGAGUGGUGGCCACUAUUAUUGGGCUUAAAGCGUUCGUAGCUGGAUCGUUAAGUCUCUUGGGAAAUCUACCGGCUUAACCGAUAGGCGUCCAAGGGAUACUGGCGAUCUAGGGACCGGGAGAGGUGAGGGGUACUUCAGGGGUAGGAGUGAAAUCCUGUAAUCCUUGGGGGACCACCUGUGGCGAAGGCGCCUCACCAGGACGGCUCCGACAGUGAGGGACGAAAGCUGGGGGAGCAAACCGGAUUAGAUACCCGGGUAGUCCCAGCCGUAAACGAUGUGCGUUAGGUGUAUCGGUGACCACGAGUCACCGAGGUGCCGAAGAGAAAUCGUGAAACGUACCGCCUGGGAAGUACGGUCGCAAGGCUGAAACUUAAAGGAAUUGGCGGGGGAGCAC
rnacentral:rRNA from 1 species